UACAUGGGGUGCAAACGUUGCUCGGAAUUACUGGGCGUAAAGGGCGCGUAGGCGGCCUUCUAAGUCGAACGUGAAAUCCCCGGGCUCAACCCGGGAACUGCGUCCGAUACUGGAAGGCUUGAAUCCGGGAGAGGGAUGUGGAAUUCCAGGUGUAGCGGUGAAAUGCGUAGAUAUCUGGAGGAACACCGGUGGCGAAGGCGACAUCCUGGACCGGUAUUGACGCUGAGGCGCGAAAGCCAGGGGAGCAAACGGG
rnacentral:rRNA from 1 species